UUUAAAGAGAGUUUGAUCCUGGCUCAGGACGAACGCUGGCGGCGUGCCUAAUACAUGCAAGUCGAACGAACGGAGGAAGAGCUUGCUCUUCCAAUGUUAGUGGCGGACGGGUGAGUAACACGUGGGCAACCUGCCUGUAAGUUGGGGAUAACUCCGGGAAACCGGGGCUAAUACCGAAUGAUAAAGUGUGGCGCAUGCCACGCUUUUGAAAGAUGGUUUCGGCUAUCGCUUA
rnacentral:rRNA from 1 species